UUCUUCGGACGUUCUCCAAGGUGCUGCAUGGUUGUCGUCAGCUCGUGCCGUGAGGUGUCGGGUUAAGUCCCAUAACGAGCGCAACCCACGUCGUUAGUUGCCAUCAGGUAGUGCUGGGCACUCUAACGAGACUGCCGGUGUAAACCGCGAGGAAGGUGUGGACGACGUCAAAUCAGCACGGCCCUUACACCCGGGGCGACACACGUGUUACAAUGGCCGGUACAGAGGGCAGCCACCCCGCGAGGGGGCGCGAAUCUCCAAAGCCGGUCCCAGUUCGGAUCGGGGUCUGCAACCCGACCCCGUGAAGCUGGAUUCGCUAGUAAUCGCGCAUCAGCCAUGGCGCGGUGAAUACGUUCCCGGGCCUU
rnacentral:rRNA from 1 species